UACGUAGGGUGCAAGCGUUAAUCGGAAUUACUGGGCGUAAAGCGUGCGCAGGCGGUUUUGUAAGUCUGUCGUGAAAGCCCCGGGCUCAACCUGGGAAUUGCGAUGGAGACUGCAAGGCUUGAAUCUGGCAGAGGGGGGUAGAAUUCCACGUGUAGCAGUGAAAUGCGUAGAGAUGUGGAGGAACACCGAUGGAGAAGGAAGCCCCCUGGGUCAAGAUUGACGCUCAUGCACGAAAGCGUGGGGAGCAAACAGG
rnacentral:rRNA from 1 species